UUUGCAAAGAAUUUUGAAGACAAAAGAAAUGCACAUGUCAGAGCUGAUCUAGUUUUUGUUGAGGUCUGCAGUGAAGGUGCUGUUUAGUUCAACAGGAGCUGCUGGAUUGGGUCUGAUGAAUGCAGUAGAGGUCUGUUUACAGUUUGAAUUCUGUCAUAUAUUUUCCAAACAGCCAGAACCUAACAUCUUUUAGCACUUUAUUCAGCACCUUG